CAGCCAGCAGCGAGGGAGGGAGGAAAAAGGGUGUCCUGCGGAUCGGUCCCGCUGAACUGGCCAGCAGCUGAAAGGCUGCGAGGAAAGAGGAAAGUUCAGCAGUGUCUACAAGAUCUGAAGGCUUCAGAAUGAUGAACAGUGUCACAAUGUCUGAUGCAAGCUCUGACUAUUUUGUAUGCACAUCCAACAUCACAAUCUGGUUGCAAAAGGGGUGGAACUUACAUCUCAAGACAUAUUUCAUCAUUUCCCCCCUGCCAGACACAAAGGGCCAACUCUUCAAGGAAGGAUUGUGUAGGACAAAAAUGUCCCCACUGUUCAGGUCCUCCAUCGGUUUAUGAAGCAUUUGAACCUGACAUGUGAUACUGCUUACUUUCCUGACCAUAGACCACGCCUCUGAGCUUCCAGUUUCCUGCUUUUGUAGAGUUUCAGCCAAGAUUAAUAAAAAAAUUAAU